rnacentral:rRNA from 1 species
AACGAGACCUUAACCUGCUAACUAGCCCGUAUUGCUUUGGCAGUACGCUGGCUUCUUAGAGGGACUAUCGGCUCAAGCCGAUGGAAGUUUGAGGCAAUAACAGGUCUGUGAUGCCCUUAGAUGUUCUGGGCCGCACGCGCGCUACACUGACGGAGCCAGCGAGUUUUUUCCUUGUCCGAAAGGUCUGGGUAAUCUUGUGAAACUC